UACAGGCCCCUCUCCCCUACUCCGCCCCCGGGCAGGGGUAGGGGAGGGUCUAUUCGGCAGGGGGUGGCCUAGCUGUCCGUACUCCCCAAACGCAACCUUCCAGUCCCAAACCCAGGCGUUCUAAGCGCUCAGGACGACGAUUUGCGCUCACGCCAGGACCCUAGUCUUCAUUGGACCCUUCCUCAUUCUGUCCUCAUUGAGGCCAUCUGAGAAUAGGGGCUAUCUGAGAAUGCAGGGGAGUGGACAUCGUGUGCAGACAGGGAGUCUGGUGAGGAGACGCUGCGGUCCCCGAUGUCCAGGUCCUCCAGCCCUCGGCCAGCGAGGAGCGAACGGGCUCCUCCGCACGGACCGACACGUGGACUGGGCUCCUGGGAAAGGAAGAGUGGAGAAGGCGGGCAGGAGCUGUCCGGGUCCCUAGACUCUCCGAGUAGCAGAUUGUGAGUGCCACGGGGCUGAGGCCUGCGCCGACCUGGUCUGCUGGUGCUACCAGGCUUGAACAGUCUUCAAAUCCACUGCUAUUAGGCAAAUUACCUGGCUCCCGCUGAACUCCAGCACCUAGAACUAUGUCACACUCGUAGUAGGCCGCUGCAUUGGUUGAACAAAUGAUUUUGAAAGAAUGAAUGUCUUCCUCUGUGCCUGCAUUUCCUCAGAAGGCUGUAACAAAGAUUAAAUAGGAAAAUUCGUGGAAAGUUCAA
rnacentral:lncRNA from 1 species